UACGUAGGGCGCAAGCGUGUCCGGAAUCAUUGGGCGUAAAGAGCUCGUAGGCGGCCUGUCGCGUCCGCUGUGAAAUCCCGGGGCUUAACCCCGGGCGUGCAGUGGAUACGGGCUGGCUGGAGGCAGGCAGGGGAGAACGGAAUUCCCGGUGUAGCGGUGAAAUGCGCAGAUAUCGGGAGGAACACCGGUGGCGAAGGCGGUUCUCUGGGCCUGUACUGACGCUGAGGAGCGAAAGCGUGGGGAGCGAACAGG
rnacentral:rRNA from 1 species